AGUUUAUGAAAAAAGUCGUUGAAUACCCAAGUAUUACAUAGGAUUAAAUUCUCGUCAUUUUUUUUUCUGAAGUUCUAAUUAUGACAAUGGUGCACAAGGAUUAUGAUUAUUACUAUGAAUUUCCUUCUUUUUCUCCUUCCUUUUUUCAUCGUAGACAGUGAAAAUAGAUUAAUCUAACAGCUUUUACAUUGUGGUCUGUGGACCAGACCUGGAUUGUAAGACUUUUUAUUUCAGCAGUUUUGUUGUUCAAGAACUGACAUUUCCUUCUACUUCUGGCCAUGCUUUUUCAUUUUCUGAAUGAGUAAACUUAAAGUAGAGAAUACUAAUCAAGUGUAUCCAUUUUUAUGUCCAGCUUAACAUUUACAUUAAAGCAAAAAUGACAACAGAACUGCAGAGGUAACAACUUCACUAAAGAUGGAGUCAUCCAAGGAAGACAGAAGUGGCAAUAGUCAGGAAAAGAAAUCUGGGACAUCCGUGCUUUGGGCAUCCAGUAAGGAUGAGGAAGCAGCACAGGCCCUACAAUGAAAUUACUGCUGGAUGAAUCCAAAGAAUCGGCAUGUGAUUUUGAGUUAAAGUUUCUCCAACUACAAAAUUGAGAGGGCUUGCUCCUCCGAAAGACUAAAGUGUUCUAGUGAUGACAGUAAGAUUUAUCCAGAAAAGAUGUACAGGAUCCUGCGUUGCAUCUAGGAACGUGACUGAGUACCUCGGGAAAGAAUGCACGAAACUGCUCAAACUGGGGAAAAAAGAACUGCUACAAGGAAGAAUUCAUAUUGCAGCCUUGCUCUGACAGCACUGGGGCAGUGAUAUGGUGAAGACAAGCAAAUUUUCCAUUGCUGUAUACUAUGGAAAGGUAAAGUGCAACCGGCCACUUCCUCAGUUUGGCAGUCA
rnacentral:lncRNA from 1 species